AGUGAAUGCUGGCGGUAGGCCUAACACUUGCAAGUCGAACGGCAGCACAGUAAGAGCUUGCUCUUACGGGUGGCGAGUGGCGGACGGGUGGGGAAUACAUCGGAAUCUACUUUUUCGUGGGGGAUAACGUAGGGAAACUUACGCUAAUACCGCAUACGACCUACGGGUGAAAGCAGGGGAUCUUCGGACCUUGCGCGAUUGAAUGAGCCGAUGUCGGAUUAGCUAGUUGGCGGGGUAAAGGCCCACCAAGGCGACGAUCCGUAGCUGGUCUGAGAGGAUGAUCAGCCACACUGGAACUGAGACACGGUCCAGACGCCUACGGGAGGCAGCAGUGGGGAAUAUCGGACAAUGGGCGCAAGCCUGAUCCAGCCAUACCGCGUGGGUGAAGAAGGCCUUCGGGUUGUAAAGCCCUUUUGUUGGGAAAGAAAAGCAGCAGGUUAAUACCCCGCUGUUCUGACGGUACCCAAAGAAUAAGCACCGGCUAACUUCGUG
rnacentral:rRNA from 1 species